rnacentral:rRNA from 1 species
UACGUAGGUGGCAAGCGUUGUCCGGAGUUAUUGGGCGUAAAGCGCGCGCAGGCGGUGCGGUAAGUCUCUGGUGAAAGCGCUCGGCUUAACUGGGCGAGGGCCGGGGAGACUGCCACGCUGGAGGGGAGCAGAGGCGAGUGGAAUUCCGGGUGUAGUGGUGAAAUGCGUAGAGAUCCGGAGGAACACCAAUGGCGAAGGCAGCUCGCUGGGACGGUACUGACACUGAGACGCGAAAGCGUGGGGAGCAAACAGG